AAUAGAUACCCCGGUAGUCCACGCCGUAAACGAUGAGUGCUAAGUGUUGGGGGGUUUCCGCCCCUCAGUGCUGCAGCUAACGCAUUAAGCACUCCGCCUGGGGAGUACGGUCGCAAGACUGAAACUCAAAGGAAUUGACGGGGGCCCGCACAAGCGGUGGAGCAUGUGGUUUAAUUCGAAGCAACGCGAAGAACCUUACCAGGUCUUGACAUCCCGGUGACCACUAUGGAGACAUAGUUUCCCCUUCGGGGGCAACGGUGACAGGUGGUGCAUGGUUGUCGUCAGCCCGUGUCGUGAGAUGUUGGGUUAAGUCCCGCAACGAGCGCAACCCUUAUUCUUAGUUGCCAUCAUUCAGUUGGGCACUCUAAGGAGACUGCCGGUGAUAAACCGGAGGAAGGUGGGGAUGACGUCAAAUCAUCAUGCCCCUUAUGACCUGGGCUACACACGUGCUACAAUGGACGGUACAAACGGUUGCCAACCCGCGAGGGGGAGCUAAUCCGAUAAAACCGUUCUCAGUUCGGAUUGUAGGCUGCAACUCGCCUACAUGAAGCC
rnacentral:rRNA from 1 species